rnacentral:lncRNA from 1 species
UUAGUUUCAGACGCUCUGGGUGUGUAUGGCUAACAUGCAAAAUAAAUUAUUCUUUUUAGUUGGAAAACAAGAAAGUAUAGCCGCGUAGCAUUCUCUGGAUUCAAUGGCUAAUGAAGUUUCUAAGGGGAAAAACGUAUCCAAAUGACAUCUUCUUGACCACAGUCAACGUGGGAUCCGAGCUGCGACUUCGACCUACACCACAGCUCACGGCAACACCAGAUCCUUUAACCCACUGAGCGAGGCCAGGGAUCAAACCCACAACCUCACAGUUCCUAGUUGCAUUCGUUAACCACUGCGCCACAGUGGGAAUUCCUAGAACAUACUGUUUUUAAAUUGCAUGAGUGACUAUAGGAAAGAAUUGGAAACAUUUUCACCUUCCAAACAUAAUGAGAGAGUCCCGAAUUUAGAGUCUUUGUAACCCCAGCACAUAGAGUGAACCCCAACAUGGGGUAGCCCUCAAGGAAGGUUUACAGGUGAAUGAAAGAAUUCCACCAAGCAGACUGACAAGACAUGGAGAUGUGUGACAAUGACAGCGAAUGUACUUUCGCAACUCGACUAGAUGCAGGCCCAGUUCCUAGUGUUGGGCAUGUAUGAGCUCUUUGAGCCCUCAGGUAGCUCCUAUAGCAUUAUCUCUGUUUUACAGAUGGGGAAACCUGGCACAGAGAGGUCAACAGACUUGCUCAGGGUCACACAGCUUAUACAUGGUAGUACCAGGAUUGGAAACGAGGCACGUUGGUUCCAGAGAUUGUGCUGCUAACCAUUCCUUCGCUUGAUUACACAGAAGAAAGGCUUUCUCGAGGGCAGUGUGUUUCCUCCUCUGAUAACAAGCAGUCUCAGAAAGAACCAGGACAUGGGCCACCCUGGGGGCAGAACUGGGGACAAAGGGACACACCUCUCCCCCACCAGGCACCUACAGCCUAGUGGGAAAAGAUAAAUAUUCUUUGCAACAGAUUAUUUUCUCUGUUAGGGCCACCAGCUUUAUAAACUCCUUAAAAUACUAUUCAAACUACCCCUCACCUCCAAGGUACUUUGAUAGCAUGGCAUUCAUUAUUAGUUUAAUUGUCAGUAUUUUAUGUCUGUCUCUAAGUUCUGGUAAUAAUGAGACAAAGAAAAGUUUAAUACUGAGUCAACGUUUUCUAUACGCUAAGUGCUGUUCUAAGCCCUUUGCUUAGACUUGUACAGGAGAUGCCAUUAUUGGCAUCCCAUUUUACAGAUGAGGAAACUGAGGCACAGAGGUCAAGAGUUAGUGAGUGGUAGAGCUGGGAUCCAAGCAGCCUGGGUCUACAGUGGCUCCCAGGAUUGCUGGGUAGGUCUUAUCACACACUUCAUGAAGGAAGGAAGAUGGAGGUACCCUUUAGACUUGCUCACCUUACCAAAUGUAGAAGGUGUGUUAUGAUUUUCCUGCUGUUUGUUCAUUUGUUUGUGUCACCCAGUGGCCAGGGAAUCACAUUGGAGCCACAGCUGUGACCUAUACCACAGCUGUGGCAAUGCCAGAUCCUUAACCCACUGUGCGGGGCCAGGGGUUGAACCUGCAUCCCAGUGGUCCAGAGAUGCUUGUGAUGCCGCUGUGCCACAGCAGGAGCUCUGGUUUUCUUGCUCGUUGUGUAAGAGAAAUCAAACGCUUUCUUCUCCUCUUCUUCUUUUUUUAACCUAUGCCAUCCCAUCUGUGUGCUCAGAAAUCUAUGAAAAGUGAAAAGUUUAUACCACAUUCGAGUGAUUAGUCUUUGGUCAUAUAUUUUACAGGGAGCAUUUUAGGCGAACUUGGACUUCAUCGUGAGAACUGAAAGCAUUUCAUUCUCAGUAUAAACCCAGCUAGAUCUGUAGUUCUCACCUCAGCUCACCCCGAAGGCCAAAUAUUAGAGUCAUCUCUUGACAGCCGAGGAUUCUGGGUAACAUUCCCACUAGGGUUAUGCCAAAGGAAGAUAUAAAGAAAUAAAGUUUGAAGCUGAGAUUUGGCUUCUUGCUGCUGCCUAGUUAACAUUAGAUUAAUAUUUUCCUUUUUUACAUAAAAAAGUAGUUUUCUAAGGGAUCAUAAAUUUUUAAACCAGAGACUGUCUGUGAGUUCUACUUUUUUUUUAUAAAUUCAAAUUAUUGGCUUCAGCUACCAUUUUUAAACUCUGUCCUGCUUUGUACUUACUGAGAACAUUCAAACUUCAGAGCCCUUCAUCUGUGAAUUAAUCAUGUGCGGAGUAUAUGCCGUUGGAAUUUAGCUAUAAAUAUAAAUGAAACGGCUCCAGCCAUGGCUGGGUUCAAAAAAAACUGAAGCAAUUUGGGGUUUUAAGUUAGAAAAAAAAUAGAGAAAUUGUAAGGAUGGAGAAAAGGAGGAAAAUAAGGAGUGAUUAAAUAUAAUAGUCCUUUUGCAUUCAAAUAUUGGGCUUGUGCAGUAUACACGGUGUGUACCUGCGAUGCUGCAAAUCGGUUUGUAAGUUCUCCUGUCAAAGUCAAAGGGAUUGAGUAGAGUGUCCCCGACAACAGAGUAUCUUUCUUACUUCACCUGCAGACACAUGAAAGGAAGGUGCAGACAUUAAUCACCAUGAAGCAUGACCAUGUGAAGUGUUAUAUAUAGUUUUUCCCUGGCACCAGUUGGCAAGAAGGUUGGGCAAGUGGGGGAACUGAGACGGCUGAGACAGGGAGGGACCAGGAGGAAUGAAGAGUGCCUGCUCACCCGAGGGUACACACCUUAGAUGCUGUUUGCCUCCCAGAAAAUUCUGGAGCAUAAAAUAGCUAGGAAACACUUCCAUCCAUUAUGGAGUUUCUCAUCAGAUUGAGCUGGAAGGGCUUCACCGUUGGACUUCCCAUCAUGGCUCAGUGGUAAUGAAUUGGACUAUUAUCCAUGAGGAUGUGGGUUCAAUCCCUGGCCUGGCUCAGUGGGUUAAAGGAUCUGGUGGUGCCGUGCUGUGGUGUAGGUCUCUGAU